AUUGAACGCUGGCGGCAGGCCUAACACAUGCAAGUCGAACGGCAGCACAGAAGAGCUUGCUCUUUGGGUGGCGAGUGGCGGACGGGUGAGUAAUGUCUGGGAAACUGCCCGAUGGAGGGGGAUAACUACUGGAAACGGUAGCUAAUACCGCAUAACGUCGCGAGACCAAAGUGGGGGACCUUCGGGCCUCACACCAUCGGAUGUGCCCAGAUGGGAUUAGCUAGUAGGGGGGGUAAUGGCUCACCUAGGCGACGAUCCCUAGCUGGUCUGGGAGGAUGACCAGCGACACUGGAACUGAGACACGGUCCAGACUCCUACGGGAGGCAGCAGUGGGGAAUAUUGCACAAUGGGCGCAAGCCUGAUGCAGCCAUGCCGCGUGUAUGAAGAAGGCCUUCGGGUUGUAAAGUACUUUCAGCGGGGAGGAAGGCGGUGAGGUUAAUAACCUCGCCGAUUGACGUUACCCGCAGAAGAAGCACCGGCUAACUCCGUGCCAGCCGCCGCCGUAA
rnacentral:rRNA from 1 species